AUGGGCAGUUGGUCCCAAGAGGGUCGUAGCCAAGUGCACAUCACGUUCCAGCGGCCCGGGGCCUGGACGCGGCUCCCGGCACCACGGCUCCGCCUCCUGCGCCAGAGAAGGGGCAGAUUCCAGGAGGUGCCCCGACAAAUCCAGCCCCUGCGGACGACGGGGCGCUUCGAGGAUGGGGGGGGGGGUGUUCCGGUGGUGACCAGGGGGGCAGCAGGCUUCACGGAAACGGGAUCCGUGUGCUUCGGCUCUGCGUCUGGGCCCUGGGGGGUGCGGUGUCGGGGUCUCUGCCUUCUUCACCUGCUGUUGGUGCGAGGGAGGCAGGGGCAGGCGGUGACACUGCGCUCCCGUCAGCACUUGGGGGCCCAGAACUUCGGGGUCCCCCACCGGCUGCCCCAGCUGCCCUGGCCGCAUCCCUCAGUGCAGAGGAGCACGAGCACCGGGGCUCCCGCGCUCUCGGCCUGCAGGUGCGGCUUCAGGGACGCCAGGUGGGAGGCGCUGCUCUCCACGAGAGGGCCGCCCCCCGCGCCCCGUGGCGCCCAGGCCCAGCAGCCCCUCAGCCAGAUGGAGGGGACAAGCCACUUGUGUGUGCGCACGACGGUGUGCGAGCAGAUGUGCGUACACGUGCGUCGGCCUCCUUUCCAAGGGAGAGCUUCCGGAGGGGACACAGGCCAGCAGGGCCCAGAAGAGCGGCAAACGCCCCUGGAGCCGAGGCGCUGUUGCCACCUGCCGCCCCAGGUGGGGCCCCGGCGCCGUGGCAGCGGCUCGCCCAGGCCUCGUGUGCCCAGGAGCGGAGCACCCCGCCCGGCCGGUGACCUGUCCUCAGGGAGCGGCUGUGCCGGCCCCGCGGAAGGAAGGGAGCUCCCAGCGGCAGGUUCUGGGCCCCCCCCCGGGUCCCCCGACGCCCCCAGCUGCACCGUGGACAUCAGGCUCGGCCUCGUCUCCAGACACACAGGGCGAGUCACCUCAGAAUCAGAGUGGGCUCUGCUCGGGAGAGGACCACGUGGACCGUCCUCAGGGAGAAGGGGUGGCCCCUGGGCUGCCGUGGGGGGCUCUGUGCCCAGGGACCUGGCCCAUGGGGCCCUGACCGGGGGAUGGGGGAUGGAGGGCGGCUCCUGCCUGGUCCUGCCGUGGCCGCCGGAACCCACAGUCCCCGCCCACCGCCUGGCCAAGGUGUCAGGGGACGGGGUGGCACUCACGUCUCCACCCCAAGUGGGUGCGUUUCGAGCACUGGAGAUGCGGGUUCCACUGGUGGGGGGGCAGUCUCCUGGGGUCUCUUUUUUCUCUUUAAAGUUUACUUUUAAUCUCUAUACCCAAAGUGGGGCUCAGACUUAUGACCCUGAGAUCAAGAGUCGUGCAGUCUCACAACUGAGCCAGCCGGGCCCCCUGCUGGGGUCUCUUAAAGGAGUUCACGAAACAAACCCCAUCAGAAGAGCCUCAGGUCGCUGGCUGCAAUGGUGUCCGGAGGGCCCCUGCCCCAUGGUAGUGGGGACAGAGAGGGCGGGGGCACUGCUGCCCCAGGACCUAGUGUCCUUGAGAGCUAGGGGGGCCUCGGGAGAGGGGACAGCACCUGCCGGCAGCCGGGACAUUCCCCCGACCGCCUGGUCGCCUGGGGUGAUCGUGGCAAGGACCCCAGUGACUCGAGGGCUGGAGUCGGGUGGGCGCCCUGCUGGUCCUCCAGCUGUCCCUGUGGCAUCCAGGAGACAGGUGCAGAGGUGA
rnacentral:lncRNA from 1 species